rnacentral:piRNA from 1 species
UGACUUCAGUUAGGGUUCAAUAGUUGC